rnacentral:rRNA from 1 species
AUGGUGGAUGAGGUCAGACAAGCCUUUGUACUGGGACCGAAUAAGGUUUUUAAGUUCAAUGAGAGUGAUGUUGAGAAGGUAUUCGGAAUCCCGGCAGCUGGAACAGAUAUCAUGGACAAAACUCUUGAUAGGAGUGACACUGUAUAUGCAUACUUGCGUGGUCGUUUGGGGAUAGAGAACAAGGAGGUAAGAAGUCUGAAGAGCAUACAGUCCAUACUGUCACGUGACUACAAGGGGAAGAUGUCACAAACAGAGGUGGUUGCAUUCAAAACUGCGUACAUCGUAUUCAUGAUGACACAUGUAUUUGCACCGACAGUCAAGAAUGACUACUUCUACACUGAUUAUUGGCCAGCAUUGGUCGACCCGGAUAGCUUGGAUAAGUUCAAUUGGGGAAGAUAUAUUGUUGAAGUACUGUGCGCAGCCGCCGUUAAGAUGAAACAAGAUAUUAGCAGGAAAGCCACGGUGUCGAAC